AUGUUUUUACGGCUAAGGCUCUGCUUGACUCUUCUCCUCUUGACGACCUGCAGCAGCUGCGGAACCUGAAGAAGAGGAGAGCAGCAACAACACAGUGAGGUGAUGAACUGAUGAUGCCAAUAACUAGAGAUAAAGAAGCUAAUAUAUUACACACCCUCAGAACUGCAGGGAUGUAGAAGGAUCCGCUAGGCGAGGAGACGGUUUGAUCGUAGUACUCCAAUACAUCGGCCUGCAUAGCUAAAACGAUCAACAUAUUAUCAAUGUGUUGGUAGUGCAAGUAAUCAUGAAAUUUGAUCAGCACAGAUCCCAAAUGAUGAUCUUGGAAUGGCGAUGAACCGUUGGUUGGCAGCAGAGAAGCUAACCUUCUCCAUGAACUCCAGACAAAUCGCGCGCUUCCAGCAGACAACAUUGACAGGCCUGGGCACACUUUCAAGACUCUUUAGGAUCAAAAUGCACAAAGUAUCUUAAACUUCGAGAACAAGAGUGCUAUUUAAAAUUGGAAAUGCCAUGCAGAAUGUUCAUGGUUGCUGGUAUGGAAGAAAACACUAGUUUAUCAACAGUAAAUAAUGUUACACCAAGAGAGUUGCUACUCUUGCUAGACACAUGUGCAGAUGAAUCCACUCUCUUUAUCUGCUACCUACAAUAACUCCAAAAGUAUAAUAUUUUGAUGAAAAAAGGUUCGAAACAAGAGAGCCCAUUUGAUCCUGCAAGCAAAUGGGACCCACAUGUCUGAUAUGUGGACCCAGAAGCUAAUGUCCAUAAACCGCUUCAAUUGCUUAGUUUGGUCAGAUGCUUUGUUCAUCUGCUGAUCACUUACUCGACGUACUUAACUUCAUGAUGCAAGCUACGAAUAAAUCUUGUUAAAAAUUAAGGUUUUUUUAGUAUUGAAAAGUAAAUGAUACGAGCUAUAUGAUCAGAUCAUUAUUUUUUUGUGAUCACAACACAAGUUUUAAGGCUACCUGUAGGACAGAUCAAGAACCAGGCCCCUGAACCCGGACAGCUCGUCGCCGGCGAACUCCUCCUCGUCCCCGACGUCGACGAUCACCACCUCGGCCUCCUCCUCAUCAGCGAGCUCGUCGUCCUUGGUCGUGCUCCGCCCGCCGGCGCCGGACCUGUUCCUCCCGCGCGCGCGCGCCAGCCACGCCGGCGCCGCGGGCCUGCUGCCGGUGCCACUGCUCCAGCACAGCGCGCUCCCGCUC